rnacentral:lncRNA from 1 species
CUUAAGGGGGUGACCAACACCAACAUUUCGCCAUUUUGACCCAGAUAUUGACCAACACAUUUUAGUGUAUAUCUUAAUAAACUUAUGAAAAAAGUUAAUGAAUCUUUCCCCAAAUGUUCAACACAAUAGUUGACAUACAUAUAUAUACUUACUAAGUUGUUUUUUGAUAAAAUAAAGAAAUUAUUAACAUCCAAACAUUGACUCUGGGCGGGUACAUAUGCUGCCCUAUUGUACGAACGAUUUUCCAGAAAACAAGUGAAUAUCACUUCUUUCACCAUUUAUCUAAAACAAAGGCGUCUUAGAAUUUCCAAUUUGUACUCCAUUCAUGAGAUAUCUUCAUUGAAACACGGGUGGUGGUUGUUCAAAUUUGAAACCAUUUUGAACUGGAACUACUUUCUGAAAAAUGUAUGGAGCGCACUUCUGCUCAAAUACAGAAUGUCGGUAAGAAUGGAAACUAAAUUUUUUUUUCUGCUCAAUUUUUGUUUCUGUUUAUAAAAUAAAGUAAUGAGUAUAUAAAUAGGGUAAAAUAUGUAUUUAUUGGUGUGCAGUUGUCUUAAAUGUUUAAUUUAUUUGUUCCUGUCACACUAACAUCUUUAUAAUGUCAACCAACGAUAAUAAGGCAUAUAUGUGUUAAAUUAAGCUCCAGAAAAGAUCAGCAAAUGAGUGUCUACAACAGCGUGGUUUGCUGUUGAAUAGUGAAAUGAAUGUUUAUCCUAUAAAUAAAAAUACACAUAUAUGACGUUUGUUUGAUGUUCAACUGACGCAGAAGCAAACG